rnacentral:rRNA from 1 species
UACGUAGGGGGCAAGCGUUGUCCGGAAUUAUUGGGCGUAAAGAGCGUGUAGGCGGUCCGGUAAGUCAGCUGUGAAAGUCAAGGGCUCAACCCUUGAAAGCCGGUUGAUACUGUCGGGCUAGAGUCCGGAAGAGGCGAGUGGAAUUUCCGGUGUAGCGGUGAAAUGCGUAGAUAUCGGAAGGAACACCAGUGGCGAAGGCGGCUUCCUGGACCAAUACUGACGCUGAGGUGCGAAAGCGUGGGGAGCAAACAGG